AAAAGAGCACAAUUACGUCAACAAAUGGAUCUAUUAUGGAAACUAAUCGCAAUUACUUCAAAAGAGUAAAAAUAAACCUUAAGGAUUAAGAAAAUGUCAUCAACCGAACCGUCGUUGUCCGGCCGAAAAAUACAGUAUUUUUGAAAAAUUAUUUAAUAAAUCCGGUAAAUACCCUCCAAAAGGACGCCGGCCUUUCGAUAUUUAUCGGAGUCUCCAACCGUAGUUCUCGCUAAAUUUGUCCAGUCUCACCGGCUACACUUCUUGAGUUCUUUCUCACUCUAAGGUAUAUAUGCACGUUCGUGUAUACGUAUAUAUUUGCGUGCGUAUACAGGUAUUCGAAGAACUCGCCGUUAGUGGCUGUAUCGGCAGAUCAGUCCGUUCUUGUGUAGAUCGCAGUGUUUACAGCUCCGAUCACUGAAUAAAGGGCUCAGUCUUCGUAAGUCUUCUUUUUUUCUUUAGGGUUCUGUGUGUGAAAUGAAUAUAUAUAUACACACACACACACUAUCUUGUGUAUAUGAUGAUCGAGGAAUGGCUUUAAUUUCAAGCGAAUUUCAGUUUUGAUUGAAGUGAUGUAAUGGAUAUACAUAUGUAUAUAUAUCGGAAAAGAUGUCGAUUUUAUGGUUCGCCCAUCAAUGUGCCCGUAACAAGAUGUCAAGAAUCAAACUUUUUUGAUGUAGAUGUACUGAUUAGGACUGAUUUUAUGUUUUAAUGUAUAUCAAGAUAUUUUUAGUAUUGAUAUUCACUUC
rnacentral:lncRNA from 1 species